AAGAGAAAUGAUUGUUGCGGAACUCAAUAGCGGCUUGCGAAAUGAUGCUCGUGAUGGUGCCAUUGCAAUGCGCCAAAAGUGGCGUCUUUGUGAGAUUGAACUUGAGGACUACUUUUUGUGCUACUAAGCAGAUUCCCCAAUGCUCUUGAAACUGUGGGAGGAGCUGUUCAUCUUGCAAAAGAUGUGGAAUUAAAAAAUCUUUCCUCCUGGAACGAUCCUCUAGAUGCUUUAGUCUUCCGUUUUCAGCAAGUAGGUGUAUCUGGUUGGGAGCAAGAAGAACGUUUAGCCAAUUGAAAUGAACUCAUAGCGUGG